UAAUAUCAACCGGCCUAGUCC
rnacentral:siRNA from 1 species